CAUGAAGUCGGAAUUGCUAGUAAUCGCGGAUCAGCAUGCCGCGGUGAAUACGUUCCCGGGCCUUGUACACACCGCCCGUCACACCAUGGGAGCCGGUAAUACCCGAAGUCAGUAGUCCAACCUCGUGAGGACGUUGCCGAAGGUAGGAUUGGCGACUGGGGUGAAGUCGUAACAAGGUAAC
rnacentral:rRNA from 1 species